rnacentral:rRNA from 1 species
AAAGCGUGCGCAGGCGGUUCUAUAAGACAGAUGUGAAAUCCCCGGGCUCAACCUGGGAACUGCAUUUGUGACUGUAGAGCUGGAGUACGGUAGAGGGGGAUGGAAUUCCGCGUGUAGCAGUGAAAUGCGUAGAUAUGCGGAGGAACACCGAUGGCGAAGGCAAUCCCCUGGACCUGUACUGACGCUCAUGCACGAAAGCGUGGGGAGCAAACAGGAUUAGAUACCCUUGU